rnacentral:rRNA from 1 species
UACGUAGGGUGCGAGCGUUAAUCGGAAUUACUGGGCGUAAAGUGUGCGCAGGCGGCCGCGCAAGUCGAGUGUGAAGGCCCCGAGCUUAACUUGGGAAUUGCGCUCGAAACUACGUGGCUGGAGUGUGGCAGAGGAAGGUGGAAUUCCAGGUGUAGCGGUGAAAUGCGUAGAGAUCUGGAGGAACACCGAUGGCGAAGGCAGCCUUCUGGGCCAACACUGACGCUCAUGCACGAAAGCGUGGGGAGCAAACAGG